UACGUAGGCAGCGAGCGUUGUUCGGAAUUACUGGGCGUAAAGAGUGUGUAGGCGGUGCUCCCAGUCUGUUGUGAAAUCUCCCGGCUUAACUGGGAGGGUGCAGCGGAAACUAGAGUGCUAGAGGGUGGGAGAGGUAAGCGGAAUUCCUGGUGUAGCGGUGAAAUGCGUAGAUAUCAGGAGGAACACCUGUGGUGUAGACGGCUUUCUGGACCGUAACUGACGCUGAGACACGAAAGCGUGGGUAGCAAACAGG
rnacentral:rRNA from 1 species